CCUGGCUCAGGAUGAACGCUAGCGACAGGCCUAACACAUGCAAGUCGAGGGGCAGCGGAGAGGUAGCAAUACCCUUUGGCCGGCGACCGGCGCACGGGUGAGUAACACGUAUGCAAUCCACCUGUAACAGGGGGAUAACCCGGAGAAAUCCGGACUAAUACCCCCAUAAUAUGGGCGCUCCGCAUGGAGGGUCCAUUAAAGAGAGCAAUUUUGGUUACAGACGAGCAUGUGCUCCAUUAGCCAGUUGGCGGGGUAACGGCCCACCAAAGCGACGAUGGAUAGGGGUUCUGAGAGGAAGGUCCCCCACAUUGGAACUGAGACACGGUCCAAACUCCUACGGGAGGCAGCAGUGAGGAAUAUUGGUCAAUGGUCGGCAGACUGAACCAGCCAAGUCGCGUGAGGGAAGACGGCCCUACGGGUUGUAAACCUCUUUUGUCGGAGAGUAAAGUACGCUACGUGUAGUGUAUUGCAAGUAUCCGAAGAAAAAGCAUCGGCUAACUCCGUG
rnacentral:rRNA from 1 species